rnacentral:misc_RNA from 1 species
GAUGAAGAACGUAGCGAAAUGCGAUAAGUAAUGUGAAUUGCAGAAUUCAGUGAUUCAUCGAAUCUUUGAACGCACCUUGCGCCUUUUGGUAUUCCGAAAGGCACACCUGUUUGAGCGUCAUGAAUACCUCAAUCUCCAUCUUUUCUUCGGAUUGAUGGGUGACUUGGAUGUUGAGCCCUGCUGGUAUGCUAUAUCAGCUGGCUUUAAACUUAUUAGCCGGCUCUGUACUGGAUCGGUUUGACUCGACGUGAUAAUAUUAUCGUUGAGGAUGCAUGUCUCAUGCAGCCGGAAAGUAUCAAAGCAGCUUCUAGCUUGCCUUUAGUGCACUUUUACAUUUUAGACCUCAGAUCAGGUGGGACUACCCGCUGAACUUAAGCAUAUCAAUAAGCGGAGGA